rnacentral:rRNA from 1 species
GACGAACGCUGGCGGCGUGCCUAAUACAUGCAAGUUGAGCGCUGACGCUUGGUACUUGUACCAACUGGAUGAGCAGCGGACGGGUGAGUAACGCGUGGGGAAUCUGCCUUUGAGCGGGGGACAACAUCUGGAAACGACUGCUAAUACCGCAUAAUAACUUUAAACACAAGUUUCAAGUUUGAAAGAUGCAAUUGCAUCACUCAAAGAUGAUCCCGCGUUGGAUUAGCUAGUUGGUUAGGUAAAGGGCCACCCAGGCGAAGGUACAUAGCCGGCCCGGAAGGGGUGAUGGCCCAAAUGGGAACGGGGACAGGGCCAAGACCCUUAGGGGAGGAGCAAUAGGGGAACUUCGGCAAUGGGCGAAAGGCUGGACGAGCAACGCCCGGGGGGGGAAGAAAGGUUUCGGGUUGUAAAACUCUGUUUGUUGGGAAGGAAGUUGGGGAGAGUGGAAAGCUCAUCUAGUGACGGUAACUACCCAGAAAGCGACGGCUAACUACGUG